AAAACCUGUGCGUAUUGUUUUGACGCAUGUCCACGUUCAGUUUGACCUGGGACAUUUAUUAAUUAAAUAACAUUUUUUUAAAAAGGCAAUAAUCACCAUUUACCACACACCCACAGACAAGCAUUUAAUUAGCUCAAAGCCACCAAUUUUAAAAAUGGACGUCUCACCUCUAACAAACAGGGUAGGCAUUAGAUUCCGGGCUCGAGGGUGGGAAGAGUAACUGGUUAUGGUUCAACUGGUUAGGGGUAAAGUUAGGUUCAGGUUUACGGUAAAGACUGACACAUAUCGACGGGGAGCCAGACUUAACCACAACACCACUCGCAGCCCUCAGCGGGCAAUGCUCAGAGGCACUUGAAUACCACACAGGCACACAGGUGUAGGUACUUAAUUGGUUCAGUCACACCCGGAGUGCGUGGAUAGUAAUGAGCGGCUGAAGGACGAGUACGAAACGGGAACAAGUGAAUUACCAAAAACUACACAAGUAUGAGCAGAUGACCACCUAAGGGACAAACCUGGGGGCAAAUCAUUCCAAUCACAUGAAACUUCAGCAUCUGAGAGAAGAAAAGUCAGGCUAAAAAGAAACACCUUACAAAGAGCAAAUUCUGCUGCUAAGAAGUCAACCGAGGAUAAUGUCUCAUGGAGAUACACUCAGCAGAAGAAUUGUAAACAAGAAACUCAGCCAUCUAUUGCAAUAACUAAUCCUCUGAAAAUGGAUCAAAUGCUCCCUACAGCUGAAGGCCCAGCCACAAUGCAUACCCCGCCAAUACUGCUGGACAAAUCAGCUGUUCCUCGGGGACAAAUGCUGCCAGUGUGCCAGGAUCAAUCUCUCUCUGCCUCGUUUCAGUCUGUGGAAAAUAACUGGAUGAACCUUACCCCUGCAUUUAUGAACCCUACUUCAUGUGCUUUCACAUCAGCAGGCUCCUCUUCACCACAGAUGGGACUGGACACAACUUCAAGCCAUGUGCUGUGGGAUGUCCCUCCUGGCCUGAUGGAUCCUGUUGGUCUUUCAUCAAUGGACUUUGGCCCAUCCUACAGCCCACCUGAACAGAAGACUGUAACAAAUGUCAUCUUACCCCCAGGAGAUCAAAGUCAAAUUGAUUCACCCCUGGUUGGCCUAACUGACAGUGUUUCUGCAGUAGAAUUUACAAACCAACCGCUUGUCCCAUUGGUUGUGUUUCAAAGUGCAACUUCAAUUUCUGGUGACCUGACACCUGAGAAUGGAAAUCAGCCGGUGCCAGACGCUCUGUGUGAUCCAAGACACCUCCAGGAGAGUGACCUCCAUAGAAGUAGCCCUUUGACAGACAAUCCAGAGGGUGUGGUUAGUCCCUUUUGGCUGGAUUUACUACUGGAUACCAACAAUAACCCUGAAAAUAAUCCAACUGACUAUAUGGUUUGAGAUGUCACUAAUGAUAUGCUUAAUAUAUAAAAGCAUAUUUGCAGCUUUGAUUGACCAAAUAUUAGAGCCUUUAGUGACAAUAUCAGUGAUUUCUGUGUGCUGCAUGGUACUCAGUCCUCAAUAGAUGUCAAAAAGUUAAAGAUGGAAUGUCCAGCUGUAUUACUCUUUAGUUUUUCAGCAGAACAUUGUAAGAAUUAUGAUAGCUGUGCAUCUCUUUCAUUUUACAGGUACAGUUAAUACAGCAGAGCAGUCAUGUUUUGUAUUUUUCAUCUGACAGUUUUAAAAAUAGCCAAUCCAUAUAAUGGAUUAUUUGUGUUACAUAAAUGGGAAAGCAUGGGAGGACUGUUGUUUUUGUCUUUCAGUUGAAUAAAGUGUU